UUACUCAUUAAUUACCCAGGUGACCCACUGAUGAGGAGACAAAGUUGCUAAUAAAAAGGCUCUGGACCUGGGGUAGAAAUAGCAGUGUUACAUAGUUUUCCUGUGGUUGAUAGCAGGUUGCAGUAAGGUGUAGACCAGGAUAAAAUAAGAAUUUUUUGAAGUGCCCAAGUACUUUGAAGACCUCCAGUCCUCUAUCUUCUUGCCUGUCAGAAUGUCUGGACGUGG